rnacentral:rRNA from 1 species
AUUGAACGCUGGCGGCAGGCCUAACACAUGCAAGUCGAGCGGAUGAUGGGAGCUUGCUCCCGGAUUCAGCGGCGGACGGGUGAGUAAUGCCUAGGAAUCUGCCUGGUAGUGGGGGACAACGUUUCGAAAGGAACGCUAAUACCGCAUACGUCCUACGGGAGAAAGCAGGGGACCUUCGGGCCUUGCGCUAUCAGAUGAGCCUAGGUCGGAUUAGCUAGUUGGUGGGGUAAAGGCCUACCAAGGCGACGAUCCGUAACUGGUCUGAGAGGAUGAUCAGGCAAACUGGAACUGAGACACGGUCCAGACUCCUACGGGAGGCAGCAGUGGGGAAUAUUGGACAAUGGGCGAAAGCCUGAUCCAGCCAUGCCGCGUGUGUGAAGAAGGUCUUCGGAUUGUAAAGCACUUUAAGUUGGGAGGAAGGGCAGUAAGUUAAUACCUUGCUGUUUUGACGUUACCAACAGAAUAAGCACCGGCUAACUUCGUGCCAGCCGCCGCGGUAAAAC